GCAACGGAGGUAAUGGUAAUGAG
rnacentral:siRNA from 1 species